GACGGAGGGUGCUAGCGUUGUUCGGAAUCACUGGGCGUAAAGGGUGCGUAGGCGGGUCUUUAAGUCAGGGGUGAAAUCCUGGAGCUCAACUCCAGAACUGCCUUUGAUACUGAAGAUCUUGAGUUCGGGAGAGGUGAGUGGAACUGCGAGUGUAGAGGUGAAAUUCGUAGAUAUUCGCAAGAACACCAGUGGCGAAGGCGGCUCACUGGCCCGGUACUGACGCUGAGAUACGAAAGCGUGGGGAGCAAACAGG
rnacentral:rRNA from 1 species